rnacentral:rRNA from 1 species
AGAGUUUGAUUAUGGCUCAGGACGAACGCUGGCGGCAUGCCUAACACAUGCAAGUCGAACGGAGUAAUGACUUCGGUUAUUACUUAGUGGCGAACGGGUGAGUAACACGUGAAUAAUCUGCCCUGUACGAUGGGAUAACAGCUGGAAACGGCUGCUAAUACCGUAUAUGACCACGCCGAGGCAUCUCGGAGGGGUGAAAGCGCUUAAGCGGUACAGGAUGAGUUCGCGUCCAAUUAGCUAGUUGGUGAGGUAACGGCCCACCAAGGCGACGAUUGGUAGCCGACCUGAGAGGGUGAUCGGCCACACUGGAACUGAGACACGGUCCAGACUCCUACGGGAGGCAGCAGUGGGGAAUAUUGGGCAAUGGAGGAAACUCCUUACCCAGCAAUGCCGCGUGAGUGAUGAAGGUCUUCGGAUUGUAAAGCUCUUUGAUUGGGGACGAAUAAAUGACGGUACCCAAGGAACAAGCCCCGGCUAACUAUGUGCCAGCCGCCGC